rnacentral:rRNA from 1 species
UGGGGAAUAUUGGGCAAUGGGCGCAAGCCUGACCCAGCAACGCCGCGUGAAGGAAGAAGGCUUUCGGGUUGUAAACUUCUUUUAUUAGGGACGAUAAUGACGGUACCUAUUGAAUAAGCUCCGGCUAACUACGUGCCAGCAGCCGCGGUAAUACGUAGGGAGCAAGCGUUAUCCGGAUUUACUGGGUGUAAAGGGCGUGUAGGCGGGACUGCAAGUCAGAUGUGAAAACUAUGGGCUCAACUCAUAGCCUGCAUUUGAAACUGUAGUUCUUGAGUGCUGGAGAGGCAAAUGGAACUCCUAGUGUAGCGGUGAAAUGCGUAGAUAUUAGGAAGAACACCAGUGGCGAAGGCGAUUUGCUGGACAGUAACUGACGCUGAGGCGCGAAAGUGUGGGGAGCAAACAGG